rnacentral:rRNA from 1 species
UACGGGGGGGGCAAGCGUUGUUCGGAAUUACUGGGCGUAAAGGGCUCGUAGGUGGCCAACUAAGUCGGACGUGAAAUCCCUCAGCUUAACUGGGGAACUGCGUCCGAUACUGGAUGGCUCGAGUUUGGGAGAGGGAUGCGGAAUUCCAGGUGUAGCGGUGGAAUGCGUAGAGAUCCGGAGGAAGACCGGUGGCGAAGGCGAGUCUCUGGACGACUCCUGACACUGAGGCACGAAAGCCAGGGGAGCAAACAGG